GCGGACCACAGGUGUUGCGAGUCACGCCCCUUCCCGACUUCCACCUCGAGGAGGUCCCAAGAUCACCCCAAGGACCAGACACACAAGAUAAGUUAAGGGUAAUUUAAAACAACUUUAUUUAAAUUAUUUAAAAAGGUAAUCUAGGAAAGGAAAAAAGGGGAAUCUAAAAUUUUGAUUUUCGUCUCUUGACAGGAGGGGACUGGGCCUGAGAACUCUGGAGGUCUUUGGUAAGUAAUCACAAGGGGAGGGGGGCAAGGGCUCUUCCGUCCUUUCCCAGAACUUCCACCAGUCUCCUGACUAAUCCUAAGUCCUUCCUUAACGGCUUGAUUUCCCGUGGCGCCCUUCUCUUCUCCUGAAGGCAACAAGAACACACAAUGAGUAAUGGGUAAAACGGAGAAUGCCUUGCUCCUAGCUUCUUUGCUCUUUGGGUUGUACUUCACCAGCGUCUGGACAGCUCCUCCACUCCCAUAGACCUCCUAGGUAGAUAUAAGGUAACACACAAAUCCCUGAGGGCACAGGUAAGUAACAAAGGUAAGGAUGUAGCAAGGUAACUAGGCCAUGCCCCUGGAUGUCCACCGGUAUAUCAGAAGCGAGUAACUUUUUACUCGUAACACAGAUAGGUAUUGAGCAAGGUGACUGACUCUUCACACUAGGCUUACUGAGCGGGUUCCAGAGCAAUGGCUUUUAACUCGUGCAGGCGGAUAAGUAUUCAACAAGUAGCUGUAUCUUCACACUGGGCUUUACAGGGCGUAUUCAAGGGCAAUAGCUUUUAGCUCGUACAGACAGGUAAGUAUUCAACAAGUAACUGUAUCUUCACGCUGGGCUUUACAGGGCGUAUUCAAGGGCAAUAGCUUUUAGCUCGUACAGACAGGUAAGUAUUCAACAAGUAACUGUAUCUUCACGCUGGACUUUACAGGGCGUAUUCAAGGGCAAUAGCUUUUAGCUCGUACAGACAGGUAAGUAUUCAACAAGUGACUGUAUCUUCACGCUGGGCUUUACAGGGCGUAUUCAAGGGCAAUAGCUUUCCCCACAAUAUCCGCACAAUACCUUGUUUUGCUUUCGCGCUUCACCUUCAAGCUGGGUCCGGAGAACGGAGUUAUAGGCGGGCAUAGGUGGGAUAGGUGGGCACCGCCACGGCAGCCUACGUUCUCUCCAACAGGAACUUUUCUCGGCCUGGAGGGCGAGUACAGACAACAGGGACACGGCACAGCACUGCAAAGCUUUGGUGUACACACGUCAAAGACAGACUCACCCACUGCACUACACACACUUCAGUGAUUUUUAAGGUCGGUACUCCACGCCCGGUCGGAUUUCGUCCUGGAGGAGUUUGCAGUCGCUGUCACGGUAAGUGCUCCAAACUUUACGGUGUGGCCACAGCCAAAUAACAUCCAUUCACCCACGCUCUACUUCGGCUCACCCACUCGUCUCGUCCUCCAACGAUGGGGCCGCUCAACAAGCUGUUAAUCACUCCAACAGGUAUUAGUUAUCCAUAUCCAAGUAUGAGCAAUGAUAUGUAAGCAAUCCAAUGUACUCACAGUCUUCGCGAUACUGAUCCUCU
ensembl:lncRNA